rnacentral:lncRNA from 1 species
UUUUUUUGUUUGUUUGUUUUUUAUUUUGGUUUGGUUUGGUUUGUUGUUGUUGUUGUUGAUACAGAGUUUCACUCUUGUCACCCAGGCUGGAGAAUUUCUCAGAAAUGGAAAAGGAGACUCCAGAAAGAAGGAAAGAGAGAAAGGCAGGUGUUAUGAGAAUGGAUUGACAGGGAGCUGGGUGAAGAUCCCACAGAAUUUGCUCAAGAAGAGGAAGGGUAUGCAGCUGGGAAGAAGUGAGGGUAGAGGGAAAGGGCGAAGAGGACCUGACAAAAGAUGGCAGUCAAGGGUCUUGUUCUAGAGUCCAGAAGCUUCAUGGGGUCCUGUCUACACUGGGUCACUACACAAGCUCUUCCUCCCACUGGGGCCCAUGAGGACUUUGCUUUGACAGCAUCUGGCAUCCAGCAAUUUGCCCAGGGGCCUCCUUCCUUGGUUUCUGAACAAGUCACCUGGAAAACCCACUCUCUAUAUUUCCAUAAAGUUACAACAAACGAUAGCUGGGGACCCGGUCUGCUUGCAUGACCAUAGGGUGAGCGAAGUCCCCUGCUUCUAAUUCUUUUCUCUAAGGCCUGAGGGAGUGAAGAUAAGAUGGUAUUGAGUCAGCUAAGGUGCCCCAAGCUCUCUGCUUUGAGAAGAUUUUAUGGGAGAACAUCAACCAGCUCAAACAUCCAGUCUCAUCCCCAGAGGCAUUCAUUGUUCAUCGUUUCAUGUGCAUUGUUCCAAAAAGUUUGUUUGUAUUUAUACCAACUGACCCAUAACAUUGGCAACUGUGUAUUUCAGAUGUGUUUCCAAACAUUUAGAAAAAGAGAAGAAAAAAGCAAACCAACGACCUAGACUCUUAGAAUAAAACUGGGUAGCAGUCCCUGGGUUGGUGCUACGAAAAUAUUGAGGAAUUUUAUGCAAAAUAACUUGUACCCAAGGGUGAGUUUCAAAGGCACGGGAAUGAAUGAUUUGGCUUAGUUGCCAAAGUCACGCUUCCCUAAUUGCACAAAGAAAAAGCGUCAGUCAGCUUUUACAAUUACCCUCCUUGACAUCUACAUCCCGCUUUCCUGAUCACAGAGAGGAAAGAAAGCUAAAGCGGCUUGCAAAGAAUGAGCCCCUGGGAGCAGAAAAUGAGAUUCUCUCCUGAAAAGCAAGAGGGAGGAGCGGAGAAGGCCAGAUUGACAGAAAGAGCAGCUCAAGAGCUAAUUAAGUCUGCAGAGGAGCCAGAUAGGCCUCCUCCCUGGUUCACUGCCAGCAACCAAAGCUUUUUGAUGUUGCUCGGAAAUCUGUGUGGGCAGGCCCAACUUCAUGCCCAAGAAGGAUUUUUACUACAAAGGCCAGAAAAAUCAAGAGAGAAGGAACAUAGGAAGGGACCUUGGGCAGAAUGAAAACCACCAUCUGGCUGCACAGAGCUAGUGUGAGAAGGGCAUUUACACUCUCACCUUAAUAUCUAAAUGGUUAUUUUAGUAAAUUAUUUUGCUUUUAUUUGUUUAAAUACCAUGU